AAUCCGUGGUAUAGGCAUUCUUGAAUCAACAUUUUAAAAUGUUGCCAUGCUUCAUGAUAAAUUUCCCCUUCUAACUAUUUGAACAUCGAAAUUUCCCUUCUAAGCU
rfam:Gossypium hirsutum cultivar TM-1 chromosome 25, whole genome shotgun sequence